UCUUUCCUCAGAUAUAUCAGCUCAA
rnacentral:misc_RNA from 1 species